CCUACGGGAGGCAGCAGUAGGGAAUAUUGCUCAAUGGGGGAAACCCUGAAGCAGCAACGCCGCGUGGAGGAUGAAGGUUUUCGGAUUGUAAACUCCUUUUGUUAGGGAAGAUAAUGACGGUACCUAACGAAUAAGCACCGGCUAACUCCGUGCCAGCAGCCGCGGUAAUACGUAGGGUGCAAGCGUUACCCGGAUUCACUGGGGGUAAAGAGCGCGUAGGCGGGAUAGCAAGUCAGAUGUGAAAUCCUAUGGCUUAACCAUAGAACUGCAUUUGAAACUGUUAUUCUAGAGUAUGGGAGAGGUAGGUGGAAUUCUUGGUGUAGGGGUAAAAUCCGUAGAGAUCAAGAGGAAUACUCAUUGCGAAGGCGACCUGCUGGAACAUAACUGACGCUGAUGCGCGAAAGCGUGGGGAGCAAACAGGAUUAGAUACCCGAGUAGUC
rnacentral:rRNA from 1 species